UACGUAGGGGGCAAGCGUUAAUCGGAAUUACUGGGCGUAAAGCGUGCGUAGUCGGUUAUUUAAGUCGGGUGUGAAAGCCCCGGGCUCAACCUGGGAAUUGCAUUCGAUACUGGAUAGCUAGAGUUCGGCAGAGGGAAGCGGAAUUUCCGGUGUAGCGGUGAAAUGCGUAGAUAUCGGAAGGAACAUCAGUGGCGAAAGCGGCUUCCUGGACCAGAACUGACGAUCAGGCACGAAAGCGUGGGGAGCAAACAGG
rnacentral:rRNA from 1 species